rnacentral:rRNA from 1 species
UACGUAGGCAGCGAGCGUUGUUCGGAAUUACUGGGCGUAAAGAGUGUGUAGGCGGUGCUCUAAGUUCGGUGUGAAAUCUCCUGGCUCAACUGGGAGGGUGCGCCGGAAACUGGAGUGCUUGAGCGUGGGAGAGGAAAGCGGAAUUCCUGGUGUAGCGGUGAAAUGCGUAGAUAUCAGGAGGAACACCUGUGGUGUAGACGGCUUUCUGGACCAUAGCUGACGCUGAGACACGAAAGCUAGGGUAGCGAACGGG